rnacentral:rRNA from 1 species
CCUACGGGAGGCUGCAGUGGGGAAUAUUGGACAAUGGGGGCAACCCUGAUCCAGCCAUGCCGCGUGUGUGAAGAAGGCCCUCGGGUUGUAAAGCACUUUCAGUGAGGAAGAACGCCUGGUGGUUAAUACCCAUCAGGAAAGACAUCACUCACAGAAGAAGCACCGGCUAACUCCGUGCCAGCAGCCGCGGUAAUACGGAGGGUGCGAGCGUUAAUCGGAAUUACUGGGCGUAAAGCGCGCGUAGGUGGCUUGAUAAGCCGGUUGUGAAAGCCCCGGGCUCAACCUGGGAACGGCAUCCGGAACUGUGAAGCUAGAGUGCAGGAGAGGAAGGUAGAAUUCCCGGUGUAGCGGUGAAAUGCGUAGAGAUCGGGAGGAAUACCAGUGGCGAAGGCGGCCUUCUGGACUGACACUGACACUGAGGUGCGAAAGCGUGGGUAGCAAACAGGAUUAGAUACCCUAGUAGUC